rnacentral:rRNA from 1 species
GAUGAACGCUGGCGGCGUGCUUAAGACAUGCAAGUCGAACGGCAGCAUGUUCCUCUCUGAGGUUCGGAACAGAAAUUAGCAAUUAGCAAGCAGCAAUUAGAGACUUAAAAUCCUAAUUUCUAGUUGCUAGUUCCUAGUUACGAUCAUUCCGAGCUUGAGAGAGGAAUGAUGGCGAGUGGCGGACGGCUGAGUAACGCGUAGGAACGUACCCCAAAGUGAGGAAUAACUCCGAGAAAUCGGUGCUAAUACCGCAUGUGCUCUAGGGAGUAAAGCCCCCUGGGCGCUUUGGGAACGGCCUUGCGUAAGAUUAGUCUUGUUGGUGAGGUAAAAGACUCACCAAGGCGACGAUCUUUAGCUGGUCUGAGAGGAUGACCAGCCAGACU